CGGCGUGCCUAACACAUGCAAGUCGAACGGAGAUGCGAUGUGAGCGAGAGGUGCUUGCACUGAUUAANCUUUUCGUAUCUUAGUGGCGGACGGGUGAGUAACGCGUGGGUAACCUGCCUUAUACCGGGGGAUAACACUUAGAAAUAGGUGCUAAUACCGCAUAAGCGCACGGUGUCGCAUGACACAGUGUGAAAAACUCCGGUGGUAUAAGAUGGACCCGCGUCUGAUUAGCCAGUUGGCAGGGUAACGGCCUACCAAAGCGACGAUCAGUAGCCGACCUGAGAGGGUGACCGGCCACAUUGGGACUGAGACACGGCCCAAACUCCUACGGGAGGCAGCAGUGGGGAAUAUUGCACAAUGGGGGAAACUCUGAUGCAGCGACGCCGCGUGAGCGAAGAAGUAUUUCGGUAUGUAAAGCUCUGUCAGCAGGGAAGAUAAUGACGGUACCUGACCAAGAAGCCCCGGCUAACUACGUG
rnacentral:rRNA from 1 species